UGGGGAAUAUUGGACAAUGGCGAAAGCCUGAUCCAGCAAUGCCGCGUGUGUGAAGAAGGCCUUCGGGUUGUAAAGCACUUUAAGUUGGGAAGAAAAGCUCUGGCUAAUAUCUAGAGCCUUGACGGUACCAACAGAAUAAGCACCGGCUAACUCUGUGCCAGCAGCCGCGGUAAUACAGAGGGGUGCUAGCGUUAAUCGGAUUUACUGGGCGUAAAGCGUGCGUAGGCGGUUUGAUAAGUCGAUUGUGAAAGCCCCGGGCUUAACCUGGGAAUUGCAGUUGAUACUGUCAGACUAGAAAACGGUAGAGGGAGGCGGAACUCCAGGUGUAGCGGUGAAAUGCGUAGAUAUCUGGAAGAACACCGUGGCGAAGGCAACUCCUGGGCCUGUUUGACGCUGAGGCACGAAAGCGUGGGGUAGCAAAACAGGAUUAGNUACCCUGGUAGUCCACGCCGUAAACGAUGAGAACUUGACGUUGGUUUGCUUAGCAAAUCGGUGUCGUAGCUAAACGCGAUAAGUUCUCCGCCUGGGGAGUACGGACCGCAAGG
rnacentral:rRNA from 1 species